CUACGGGCUGCUCCAGUGAGGAAUAUUGCACAAUGGGGGGAACCCUGAUGCAGCAACGCCGCGUGGAGGAUGACGCAUUUCGGUGUGUAAACUCCUUUUAUAUGUCAAGAAAAUGACGGUAGCAUAUGAAUAAGCACCGGCUAACUCCGUGCCAGCAGCCGCGGUAAUACGGAGGGUGCAAGCGUUACUCGGAAUCACUGGGCGUAAAGGACGCGUAGGCGGGUUGGAAAGUCAGGUGUGAAAUCCUACAGCUUAACUGUAGAACUGCACUUGAAACUUCUAAUCUAGAGUAUGGGAGGGGGAGGUGGAAUUCGUGGUGUAGGGGUAAAAUCCGUAGAUAUCACUAGGAAUACCUAAAGCGAAGGCGAUCUCCUGGAACAUUACUGACGCUAAGGCGUGAAAGCGUGGGGGGCAAACAGGAUUAGAUACCCUAGUAGUC
rnacentral:rRNA from 1 species